CAGUCGACGGCAGCACGGACUUCGGUCUGGUGGCGAGUGGCGAACGGGUGAGUAAUAUAUCGGAACGUGCCCAGUCGUGGGGGAUAACGUAGUGAAAAUUACGCUAAUACCGCAUACGAUCUAAGGAUGAAAGCGGGGGAUCGCAAGACCUCGCGCGAUUGGAGCGGCCGAUAUCAGAUUAGGUAGUUGGUGAGGUAAAGGCUCACCAAGCCAACGAUCUGUAGCUGGUCUGAGAGGACGACCAGCCACACUGGAACUGAGACACGGUCCAGACUCCUACGGGAGGCAGCAGUGGGGAAUUUUGGACAAUGGACGCAAGUCUGAUCCAGCCAUUCCGCGUGCAGGACGAAGGCCUUCGGGUUGUAAACUGCUUUUGUACAGAACGAAAAGGUCUCUAUUAAUACUGGGGGCUCAUGACGGUACUGUAAGAAUAAGCACCGGCUAACUACGUGCCAGCAGCCGCGGUAAUACGUAGGGUGCAAGCGUUAAUCGGAAUUACUGGGCGUAAAGCGUGCGCAGGCGGUUAUAUAAGACAGAUGUGAAAUCCCCGGGCUCAACCUGGGAACUGCAUUUGUGACUGUAUAGCUGGAGUGCGGCAGAGGGGGAUGGAAUUCCGCGUGUAGCAGUGAAAUGCGUAGAUAUGCGGAGGAACACCGAUGGCGAAGGCAAUCCCCUGGGCCUGCACUGACGCUCAUGCACGAAAGCGUGGGGAGCAACAGGAUAGAUACCCUGGUAGUCACGCCCUAA
rnacentral:rRNA from 1 species